CCUCUUCAAUCUGCUGUGGGCAGAUGAAGUGAAUGUGGGAGUCAAUGCCGCCCGCGGUGAGGAUCAUGCCUUCGCCGGCAAUUACUUCGGUGCCCGCACCCACGGCAAUGGUCACAUCCGGCUGAAUGUCAGCGUUGCCGCCUUUGCCGAUUGCGGCGAUACGGCCGUCCUUGAUGCCGACAUCAGCUUUGACCACGCCCCAGUGAUCGAUGAUCAGUGCGUUGGUGAUCAGGGUAUCUACCACAUCCUUGGCGCAUAGCUGACCCUGGCCCAUGCCGUCGCGG
rnacentral:sRNA from 1 species